rnacentral:rRNA from 1 species
ACGAACGCUGGCGGCACGCCUAACACAUGCAAGUCGAGCGAGAGCAUACCUUCGGGUAUGUUUCUAGUGGCGGACGGGUGAGUAACGCGUGGGUAUCUGCCUCAAGGUGGGGGAUAACUGUUGGAAACGACAGCUAAUACCGCAUGAUCCCGUAAGGGUAAAGAUUUAUCGCCUUGAGAGGAGCCCGCGUCGGAUUAGGUAGUUGGUAGGGUAACGGCCUACCAAGCCGAUGAUCCGUAACUGGUCUGAGAGGAUGACCAGUCACACUGGGACUGAGACACGGCCCAGACUCCUACGGGAGGCAGCAGUGGGGAAUCUUGGACAAUGGGGGAAACCCUGAUCCAGCGAUGCCGCGUGAGUGAAGAAGGCCUUAGGGUUGUAAAGCUCUUUCACCCGUGAAGAUAAUGACGGUAACGGGAGAAGAAGCCCCGGCUAACUCCGU